CUAUAUCUGGAUUCUCCUUCAAGGUACUAUCGCAUCUGUUGGGCAAGAACCCUUUCUUCCUCACCAGCUCAACCAUGGAGUCGGCUUCCUCUUCCUAGAUCCGGUUUCCCGGAACGUGUUGACCAGCACCUAUGGCUGCAAAAGAGCAGCGAGCUUCAAGAGAGGAGGAGAUGGUGUAGAGUCGUCGGACCAUCCAAUUUCAGUCGAGGGUUCAGAACCAGCAAUGGGGUUACUUUCGAUUGAAGAGGCGGCCGUUCUUAACUGCUACCCAUUCAUGCUCCAAUCACACUUCAACCUCUAGAUGGGAAAUGAAAAUGGUGCCGCAAUGACAUUCCACGAUAUGGUAAUGAGAGCAAGCAAAGUGGUGCUGCACUCUGCGAGCUAGUGAUGACUUGAAAGGAAAAAAUUUUUACUGGCCGUGUUGGACAAGACCAGAGUUCCAAUGAUUCAGGAGUUCAUAUGGAUGUAGCAAGUUGCUCUGUGGAGAAUAACUCACCUGUGGAAGCUCCUUCUUCCUCCUUUUGCGUGGGAGAUGGGAACCAGGAUGAAUCAGAGUCGUGUGUGACUUACAAAUUGAACAGGAAGGGAAUGAUUCUGGCAGCCAGAAAAUGAUCAGUUCACGAAUUGAUUGUCAGCCAUGGCCUAAGGGUAAGAGGCUUCCUAAAGAUGCACCUGAAGGGAGCACCCAAAGCUUGAUGGGUGCUAUUGAGAGGGGGCUACGCAAUGCAUCGAAUAGAAAGGGAAGAUAUAUAUUUGAGCCCUCACCUGGAAUGACAUUUGAUUGCGUGAGUGAAGCACAAGGGUUUUGUAAUAUAUACUCAUGGGAGGUUGGUUUUGGCUGUCGAUCAAGUGAGGGGAGUGCUUGCCGACAGAAUGCUAAUGCUAGUUGCACUGAGUAUGUUUCUAGUACUGAAACAGAUUGUGAAUCCAUGCGAAACAUGUAUGGUGCUGCAGGGUCUAGUGUUGGUCUGAGUGAUUCAGAGUUGUUGAGCUUAAGGCCUCCGGAUGUGAAAAUGAGGCGUGAUGGUCAAAGGAUGAAUCUCUACAAGACGAGGAAUGACAUAAUAAGGGAGAGAUUGAAGCAGGCAGGGAGGAAGGUGAGCAAGAAGAAGAAAAACAAGUGAUGCGGCACCUGUGGGCUUGAUGACCACAAGAUGUCAGAAUGUCUAACCAAGACUGUUGGUUUAACUUACACAUGGGAGUGUUGAUUCUGGUGGUACUAGUUUCCAGAGCUCAUCGUAGCUUGUGUUUUGGUGGAUCAUCAUACUUGUAGUGCCUACGAGCCCUUUAGUAAGUUGGUCCUCUGGAUUGACGAAUCAUGUAAUUUAGUUUGGAUGCCAAGCUACUAACUGUUUAAGUUACUAAUGAAUGUACUGUUAUGACAUUCAAAUGUAUUUUGGGCACUGAAGUUUGUUAGGUUAA